rnacentral:lncRNA from 1 species
UGGGGGCGGUGGGAGCGGUGGGGGUAGUGGGGGUAUUGGGGGCAUGUGGCACGCUUGAGCCAUAUCACAAUCACCGCGCCCAGAAUCUCUGCCAGCACCAUGAGCUCCAGGUAUGUUGCCAGAGUUGAUGUACGAGACAUCCACGCUGCAUAUGCUGCCUGUAAUGAGCAUGCCGUUUUGGAACUAGGUUCCUUACAUUUGGUAUCGAGUUAUGGUUCGGCGGGUGCCCAAGAUGCACGCUGUUGUCCAACACAGCCGACUGGUGAGCUGCGACCAGCCCUAAGCCACCACCGAUGGACUGCAUGUGCUUCCACACGGCACGCGUGGUCAUACCGCGGACAACAAGCCGCCGCAAAUACGCAGCUGCCUGGUGCCGACACGCGUUGGGGAGCCCACUUGCGAUAGCAUGGAAAGCGCACUCCCCAUUCUCCGGUGUUUCCUCGGGUUUUGCCGCCGCUAAGCCGAUAUCUACAAUGCCAAAGGGCAGCGACAUUAUACCUAGCCUUUCAUUGCGACUGAAUGAAUGACGCUUUGGCCAAAUUGGAUGGGUACCACGCGCACUAUGGUGUAGCGUCAGUUCAACCAUUCAAGGUAAAUACAUAUAUGUUCUGCGUCCUAAUCGCCGCAACAUUCGUGCAGUUGGCGCAGUCAAUUACAUGGACAACCUCAUGACUUCGAACGACCGCGCCCGUCGCGCUCUCUGCUCGCUAUUUCCUAAAUAUUGAUGUAAUCGCUAACAUGUAUUGUACUCGGUAAUCACUUCAUGAUUAACGCGCGGGGAGCGAGCGCCGCGCUCGCGCGCCUGCUACGCUCGCAUUUCCUCUCUGGUGCGCUUGCCGUGUAUUAGUUUCAUUGUUAAGUGUCGUUUAAAAGUCCGCGCGUAGGUCUGCAGCGCUCAUAGAGUUCGCUUGUGUCGCGAGUCCGAGCGCUCGCUGCGCUCGCGUUUUGCAAGGGUUAAGCGAGCCCUCUAAUUCAUUUUCGCGUGCCCUACCGUGUGGCGUUGCGGGCGGGUGCGUAACGCGUGCCUGUGAGUUGCGGUCUCCGCUGCCUACGUCCGGUCCUACCUACGGGUCGGCAGCGCUGGGUGCUAAGUGGUGUAGUCCUCCGCUCUGCUCUACGCUACGCUUCGAGGAGCUCCAGCACCAUGAGCUCCAGGUAUGUUGCCAGAGUUGAUGUACGAGACAUCCACGCUGCAUAUGCUGCCUGUAAUGAGCAUGCCGUUUUGGAACUAGGUUCCUUACAUUUGGUAUCGAGUUAUGGUUCGGCGGGUGCCCAAGAUGCACGCUGUUGUCCAACACAGCCGACUGGUGAGCUGCGACCAGCCCUAAGCCACCACCGAUGGACUGCAUGUGCUUCCACACGGCACGCGUGGUCAUACCGCGGACAACAAGCCGCCGCAAAUACGCAGCUGCCUGGUGCCGACACGCGUUGGGGAGCCCACUUGCGAUAGCAUGGAAAGCGCACUCCCCAUUCUCCGGUGUUUCCUCGGGUUUUGCCGCCGCUAAGCCGAUAUCUACAAUGCCAAAGGGCAGCGACAUUAUACCUAGCCUUUCAUUGCGACUGAAUGAAUGACGCUUUGGCCAAAUUGGAUGGGUACCACGCGCACUAUGGUGUAGCGUCAGUUCAACCAUUCAAGGUAAAUACAUAUAUGUUCUGCGUCCUAAUCGCCGCAACAUUCGUGCAGUUGGCGCAGUCAAUUACAUGGACAACCUCAUGACUUCGAACGACCGCGCCCGUCGCGCUCUCUGCUCGCUAUUUCCUAAAUAUUGAUGUAAUCGCUAACAUGUAUUGUACUCGGUAAUCACUUCAUGAUUAACGCGCGGGGAGCGAGCGCCGCGCUCGCGCGCCUGCUACGCUCGCAUUUCCUCUCUGGUGCGCUUGCCGUGUAUUAGUUUCAUUGUUAAGUGUCGUUUAAAAGUCCGCGCGUAGGUCUGCAGCGCUCAUAGAGUUCGCUUGUGUCGCGAGUCCGAGCGCUCGCUGCGCUCGCGUUUUGCAAGGGUUAAGCGAGCCCUCUAAUUCAUUUUCGCGUGCCCUACCGUGUGGCGUUGCGGGCGGGUGCGUAACGCGUGCCUGUGAGUUGCGGUCUCCGCUGCCUACGUCCGGUCCUACCUACGGGUCGGCAGCGCUGGGUGCUACAAGUCCAGCUGGCUUGAGGGGGCCGUAGCUCAUCAGCUUUCAAACACAAAAUCGUGUGAUGUGUGCGGGUGGGUGAGGGUGAGUCUGGGCGUGGGGUUGUGGGUAUGUCGCGUGGUAGACCGGCGAGGGCAGGGCACGAGCAGAGCGAGGGCGAGGGAGGAGCGUCGGAAGGGUGCAGGCACGGCGAGAGCGAGGGGUGAGGGCAGGGCAAGGGCAGGGCGAAGGCGAGGGCAGGGUUAGGGGAGGUGUAGGGCUGGGCAAGGGCUGGGCGAAGGCGGGGCGAGAUUGAGGGCGGGGCGUAGGCGGGGCAAGGGUGGGGCGAGGGCAGGGCGAGGGUGACGGCCGGGCGAAGGCAGGGCGAAAGGUAGGGCAGGGCAGUGGCGGGGUGAGGGUGAGGGCAGGGCGAGUGCGGGGCGAGGGCAGGGCAUGGGGAGAGCGAGGGGCGAGGGAGGGGCGAGGGAAGGGUGAGGGCAGGGCGAAAGCUGGGCGAGGGCAGGGCACGGGGCGGGCGAGGGCGAGGCACGAGGGAAGGAUGAGUGCAGGGCGUGUGGCGAGGGCGGGGCAAGGGCAGGGCGAAGGCGAGGGCAGGGUUAGGGGAGGGUGAAAGCUGGCAAGGGCUGGGCGAGGGCGGGGCGAAGGCAGGGGCAAAGGCAGGGGCAGGGGCAAAGGAGGGGCGAGGGCGGGCGAGGGCGGGCGAGGGCGGGGCGAGGGUAAGAGCUUCACGCGGGAAGGGCGAGAGCAGAGCAAGCACUGGGCACGGGCAGGGCCAGCGUGGGGCGAGGGUAAGAGAUACGCGCAGGCAGCGCGAGGACAAAGCACGAGCAGCACCAGGAGAGCAAGGGCGAGGGAGGAGCAAGGGAAGGGUGAUGGCAGGGCGAGAGCUGGGCGAGGACAGGGCAAGGGCAGGGCGAGGGCGGGGCAAGGUCAGUGCACGGGGAGGGCGAGAGCGGGGCAAGCGCUGGGCACAGGCAGAGUGAGUAGAGUGAGGUCGGGGCGAGGGUAAGAGCUUCGCGCAGGCAGGGCGAGGGCGGGGCACUGGGAAAGCGAGGGCGAGGGAGGAGGGAGGGAACGGCAAGGGCAGGGCGAGGGUUGGCCGAGGGCAGGGCAGGGGCUGGGUGAGGCCGAGGGUGAUGGUGAGGGAUGGGUGAGUUCGGGGCAGGGGUCGUAUCUUGUUUUGGGGGUAAUGUCUAGCUCCAGACAAAAACGGCCGGGUGGCCGCCGUCUU